GAUGAACGCUGGCGGCGUGCCUAAUACAUGCAAGUCGAGCGAACAGACGAGGAGCUUGCUCCUCUGACGUUAGCGGCGGACGGGUGAGUAACACGUGGAUAACCUACCUAUAAGACUGGGAUAACUUCGGGAAACCGGAGCUAAUACCGGAUAAUAUAUUGAACGGCAGGGUUCAAUAGUGAAAGACGGUUUUGCUGUCACUUAUAGAUGGAUCCGCGCCGCAUUAGCUAGUUGGUAAGGUAACGGCUUACCAAGGCGACGAUGCGUAGCCGACCUGAGAGGGUGAUCGGCCACACUGGAACUGAGACACGGUCCAGACUCCUACGGGAGGCAGCAGUAGGGAAUCUUCCGCAAUGGGCGAAAGCCUGACGGAGCAACGCCGCGUGAGUGAUGAAGGUCUUCGGAUCGUAAAACUCUGUUAUUAGGGAAGAACAAAUGUGUAAGUAACUAUGCACGUCUUGACGGUACCUAAUCAGAAAGCCACGGCUAACUACGUG
rnacentral:rRNA from 1 species